rnacentral:rRNA from 1 species
UGGGGAAUAUUGGACAAUGGGCGCAAGCCUGAUCCAGCCAUACCGCGUGGGUGAAGAAGGCCUUCGGGUUGUAAAGCCCUUUUGUUGGGAAAGAAAUCCUGUCGAUUAAUACUCGGUGGGGAUGACGGUACCCAAAGAAUAAGCACCGGCUAACUUCGUGCCAGCAGCCGCGGUAAUACGAAGGGUGCAAGCGUUACUCGGAAUUACUGGGCGUAAAGCGUGCGUAGGUGGUGGUUUAAGUCUGCUGUGAAAGCCCUGGGCUCAACCUGGGAAUUGCAUUUGUGACUGGAUCGCUAGAGUGUGGUAGAGGGAUGCGGAAUUUCUGGUGUAGCAGUGAAAUGCGUAGAGAUCAGAAGGAACAUCCGUGGCGAAGGCGGCAUCCUGGGACGACACUGACACUGAGGCACGAAAGCGUAGGGAGCAAACAGG